AUUACCUUGUUCAGAACUUAAAGAGAAAUCUUGAGUUUAUGGACUUCAGGGGGAGUAUGGUCACAAGGCUGAAACUUAAAGGAAUUGACGGAAGGGCACACCAGGAGUGGAGCCUGCGGCUUAAUUUGACUCAACACGGGAAAACUUACCAAGACCGAACAGUAGAAGGAAUGACAGAUUAAGAGUUCUUUCAUGAUUUAUUGGGUAGUGGUGCAUGGCCGUUCUUAGUUGGUGGAGUGAUUUGUCAGGUUAAUUCCGGUAACGAACGAGACUGAAACCUAUUAAUUAGUUUUCUGCCUAUAAGACAGAAAUGUUCGCAAGAACAGGUGCGUAAGUACCACUUCUUAAAGGGACACAUUUCAAUUGUCCUAUUUUAAUUGUAGUUAUCUAAUUUCG
rnacentral:rRNA from 1 species